AGAGACUUCCAGGCAAUCGCGAGAUUCGUCUCGAGGAAAGUCCGGACUCUAGAGGGCAGAGUGGUGGGUAACGCCCACCGGGAGCGAUCCUAGGGAAAGUGCCACAGAGAAUAGACCGCCGCGGAACUUUUGUUGCGUGGUAAGGGUGAAACGGUGAGGUAAGAGCUCACCAGCACUUGGGGUGACCCAGGUGGCUUGGUAAACCCCACUCGGAGCAAGACCAAAUAGGAGAGGGAGAAGCGGCCCGCUUUGUUUGAACUCUCGGGUAGGUUGCUAGAGGGCGAUGGCAACAUCGUCCGUAGAUAAAUGAUUGCCGGCCCUUCGGGGUUAACAGGAUCCGGCUUAUUGGAAGUCUCGGUAC
rnacentral:RNase_P_RNA from 1 species